UACGUAGGGUGCGAGCGUUAAUCGGAAUUACUGGGCGUAAAGCGUGCGCAGGCGGCUUUGCAAGACAGAUGUGAAAUCCCCGGGCUCAACCUGGGAACUGCAUUUGUGACUGCAAGGCUAGAGUACGGCAGAGGGGGAUGGAAUUCCGCGUGUAGCAGUGAAAUGCGUAGAUAUGCGGAGGAACACCAAUGGCGAAGGCAAUCCCCUGGGCCUGUACCGACGCUCAUGCACGAAAGCGUGGGGAGCAAACAGG
rnacentral:rRNA from 1 species